rnacentral:pre_miRNA from 1 species
AGUGGGAUAGCUGAGUCACAUGGUAAUUCCACUCCCAGUUUUCUGAGGAAUCUCCAUACUGCUUUUCAUAAUGGUUGCACCAAUUUGCUGUCCCACCAGCAAU